rfam:Spinacia oleracea cultivar SynViroflay scaffold40086.con0004.1, whole genome shotgun sequence.
UGGCGAUGAUUAGAUACUUAUCCGCGCUUCUGAGAUUCACUCGAUGAAGUAUGGAUUUAAAAUGGUUGAAUUUCUUGAUAUGAGCCG